rnacentral:rRNA from 1 species
GCAUAUCAAUAAGCGGAGGAAAAGAAACCAACAGGGAUUGCCUCAGUAGCGGCGAGUGAAGCGGCAAAAGCUCAAAUUUGAAAUCUGGCGUCUUUGGCGUCCGAGUUGUAAUUUGAAGAAGGUAUCUUUGGGCCCGGCUCUUGUCUAUGUUCCUUGGAACAGGACGUCACAGAGGGUGAGAAUCCCGUGCGAUGAGAUGACCCGGGUCUGUGUAAAGUUCCUUCGACGAGUCGAGUUGUUUGGGAAUGCAGCUCUAAGUGGGUGGUAAAUUCCAUCUAAAGCUAAAUAUUGGCGAGAGACCGAUAGCGAACAAGUACAGUGAUGGAAAGAUGAAAAGAACUUUGAAAAGAGAGUGAAAAAGUACGUGAAAUUGUUGAAAGGGAAGGGCUUGAGAUCAGACUUGGUAUUUUGCAUGCUGCUCUCUCGGGGGCGGCCGCUGCGGUUUACCGGGCCAGCAUCGGUUUGGAGCGGCAGGAUAAUGGCGGAGGAAUGUGGCACGGCUUCUGCUGUGUGUUAUAGCCUCUGACGAUACUGCCAGCCUAGACCGAGGACUGCGGUUUUUACCUAGGAUGUUGGCAUAAUGAUCUUAAGUCGCCCGUCUUGAACCACCGGACC